rnacentral:rRNA from 1 species
UGACCAACCUGCCCCUAACUCUGGGAUAACCCCGGGAAACCGGAGCUAAUACCGGAUACGAGACCGAGUGGCAUCACACGGUCUGGAAAGUUUUUCGGUUAGGGAUGGGGUCGCGGCCUAUCAGCUUGUUGGUAGGGUAAUGGUCUACCAAGGCGACGACGGGUAGCCGGCCUGAGAGGGCGACCGGCCACACUGGGACUGAGACACGGUCCAGACUCCUACGGGAGGCA